rnacentral:lncRNA from 1 species
AAAAAGAGUACUCAGGUGUCCUCCAACUUAGUUCUAUGUUCUCCAACUGUCGCUCUGGUGACACACUGACCUGGGUUUGAGCCUCCACGUUGGGCACUGCUUGCCAUGACCAGCUCGAUCGUGGAGACCCUAACCCAGCAGUGCUAGAGGAAUUAAAGACACAUACACAGAAUAUAGGGUGUGGAGUGGGAAAUCAGGGGUCUCACAGCCUUCUGAGCUGAGAGCCUUGAACAGAGUUUGACCCACACAUUUAUUGAUAGAAAGCCAGUGAUAAGCAUUGCUUCUAUAGAUUAUAGAUUAUAGAUUAGCUAAAAGCAUUCCUUAUGGGAAACAAAGGAUUCUCAGAAAGGAGCAGAGAAACAGGCUCUGGCUGAUUAUCUGCAGCAAAAACAUGCUCUCAAGGCACAGGCUGCUCCUGCUAUCAUUUGCAGUUUGAGCAGUUUUUCCAUCCAGGCUGGGCCAGGUGUCCCUUGCCCUGCUCCAGUAAACCAACAACUUUUAGCAGUGUGCAUGACAGCCAUCACAAGCAUGUCACAUUGCUGCAGAAAUCCUGUUUAUGGCCAGUAUCUUUAAGACCUAUUUAUGAUAGGCUUACGGCUUGCUACCAACAUUGCACCCAAGUUAUGUGACUCUCUCAAAUGUGUCUUACAUGUUGUGUCAUAUUGGGGCUCAAUAUAUCACAUUAGACAUUGUUACAUUUUUCUGGGUUUAACACCUAGGUGAUGUAACUUUUUUUUCUGGGUCUGCCUACAGGGGACCUUGUGACAUAACUCAGUGCCCAUCACCAUGGUGAUGUUACUCUUUUCUCCUGCCUGGUCUCUGCUCAGAGAAAUUGUGACACAUCACUGGCCUAGCAUCUAGGUGAUGUGAUUCUCCUCUUUUUUUCAGGCUCUGCAUAUUUGGGUAUUGUGACAUAUUGCUAAACUUAACACCUAAGGGAUGGGAGUCUCCUACCUGUGCUCUUCCUACAGGGGCAUUGUGACAUGUCUCUGCAUUCCUCACCUAGGAGAUGUGACUCUCCUACCUGCACCCUUCCUACACGGAAAGUUGUGGCAUAUUGCUGUGGCCAGCAACCAGAUGAUGUGUUUCUGCUUCCUGGGUCUUUAUUACAGGAAAGAUGGUUGACAUAUCACAGGGCCCAGCAUCCAGGAUCUGUGGGACAGACCCAGCAGGUGGUGCCCCAUGUAAGAAGCAAUGAAAUGCAUCAUGAUGGAACCCUCAAAAACGAAAGUGAAGUUACUGCACACCCCUUAGGUCCUCUUUGGAUUCCAGCAUGAUGCAUCAAACCUUACCACGGCAUGACUAGGGCCCAACCUGCUACCAGAAAUAAAGGAAAUGACGAUGCAGAACCCACAACCCUGGAUGAUGUGGCUUCCUUGGAUGACACAGGCCCCAGACAUUACCUGGGGAAUGCUGAAGAACACAACUCAGGAGGCUGAACAAAUCUGCUUCAGACACAGAUACCAUUCAAUCCAUAUAAUUUGUUCUUUGCUAUGCUUUUUAUUCCACAUUGCAACUCUUAUAGAAUACUGAUUCUUCUUAUUCUCUCUUUUUGCCUGCAACCCACACCUGCUAUAAACUAUUGGGCCCAUCUUCUAGAUCUGCCUUUCUUACGGCAUUUUACUUGGGAAGGUACCCCCUUCUCAGCCUCUGACAACGUGACCAAUUGGCUGGGAGGUAUUGACUUACCCCCGGUGGGGUCCCUCAGUAAUGGCACACAUUGGACUCAGGUGCCAAGUAACAUUACAUAUCAAUCCUUGAUUGGAAAAGAAUAAUAUUGAUUAUACUCAUGUUUGUCUUAUGUUAUUUACUGGUUCUAGGGUGCAAAGCUGGAACACAAACUGUAACCAUUGCACCAGUCAAACCUGUCGCUGCUCAGAUCUGUAUGCUUCAAUCAACAAAACCUGAUGCAAAAAAACAGAAAAAGGGGAGAUGUGGGAGAUUGGUCAGAGUGGUGGAAAAAGGAUAGGGAAAGAACGCAAAUUUUCUGAAAUGUUGGAAGGUCCUGCAGAGCUCCAGGGGAGAAUAGCUGAAGGCAGCUGUUCUAUAACCCUGAGGCAGAGAGCAAGCAGUAGGUACAAGGGAGUGUGGAAGAAUUUAUCUUAAACAGGCUUAUUUACUUAUGUUGAUCAGGAACUGACCUUUGAUCAUUUGCGUGUGUGACAUUCCCUGAAAGGGGAACAAUAAAUGUUAAUUACCUGCA